AACUGAUACUACCUGCGGGAACCUGCGGAGGGAUCAUUACAGAGUUUUCUAACUCCCAAACCCAUGUGAACUUACCAUUGUUGCCUCGGCGGAGCCUACCCUGUAGCUACCCUAUAAGGUGGUUACCCUGUAGCGCCCCGCCGGUGGAUUUUCAAACUCUUGUUAUUUUUAGUAAUCUGAGAGUCUUAUUUUAAAUAAGUCAAAACUUUCAACAAUGGAUCUCUAGAUCGGAAGAGCACA
rnacentral:misc_RNA from 1 species